rnacentral:lncRNA from 1 species
UCCAGAUUCAAACGGCUUCUAUGGUGGAUUCACACAAAAGAAAUUAGUAGAAGAAAGAAUUUUGCUAAAUUUCUUUUCAGAAAGACUUUACUCAUUUAUCAGCAAUAAAUAGUAUCUGUUAUGAGUUAAAUUGUGUCUCCAAAAAGAUAUGCUGGGGUAAUAGCCACUGGGAACUUUGAAUGUAAUCUUAUUUGGAAAUAGGGUCUUUGCUAAUAUUAUCAAAUUAAGAUGAAGUCAUAUCAAAUUAAGUAUGACUGUCCUUAUAAGAGGAGAAGAGACACAGACACAGAGGAAAGACUGCCAUAUGAAGAUGGGGCAAGGAUUGGAGUUACAUUGCUACAAGCCAAGGAAUGCCUGGCACUACCAGAAGCUGGAGGAGACAAGGGAGGAUUAAUGUCCUUUAGGAGCUUCAAAGGAAAUAUGUCCCUCUCAACAACUUGACUUCUAAUGUUGUGAUGGUUAAUACUGAGUGUCAACUUGAUUGGGUUGAAGGAUACAAAGUAUUGAUCCUGGGUGUGUCUGUGCCAAAGGAGAUUAACAUUUGAGUCAGUGGGAUGGAAAGGCAGACGCACCCUUAAUCUGGGUGGGCAAAAUCUAAGCUGCUAGCAUGACUAGAAUAUAAGCAGGCAGAAAAAUGUGAAAAAGAGAGACUGGCCUAGACUCCCAGCCUACGUCUUUAUCCUGUGCUAGAUGCAUCCUGUCCUUGAACAUCAGACUCUUAAGUCCUUCAAUUUUGGAACUCACACUGGCUCUCCUUGCUCCUCAG